ensembl:lncRNA
GAUAAAAGCAUAUAUAUAAGUGCAGACCAUUUACCAUUGUACUUCUAUUCUGCACACUGUGAUUUGGUCCACUGCUCAGAGUUGAUGUGUGUUACUCACAAGUCUUCUAAUAGCUUCAGAGUGGUCCUUCUUGCUUAAAGGUAUUGUGAGGCAGGUGGGCCAACACCACAGAAUGGGGUGUGGCAUACUAAAGGCUCCAUGGAGACGACCCAUUUGUCCAUGCUGGUGUUGCAUCCUGCUAUCACGGGCCUGUUUGCUGGUAGGGCUUAUUUGCACACAUCCGGCAGAGCAGAUAGUAACCCCAUACUGGUCAAGAAGUCUCUCUGCCAGGAGUUGAACUUUUUAGCCUUCAAAUAUUCCCUGAUAUAAUCCCUGACUCCUAGCGGACUAGUGGAACUUCCUCAAUAAACUGCUGCAUCUUUCUUCUUAUAGCCUGCAUAUCGUAUUGUACUGUCAGCUGACCAUCCCAUGAUUCUUCUGGCAAUGUGUUCUCCCCAUUAAUAGUCCUGCAUGAACAAGCAUGAUGGUUAUAGUAACAAACACACACCCAGCUACCUAUAGAACUAUAAAACCAUUAAAAAUGGUUUUCGGCAACAGAAUCAAAAUCGUGCAUCAGGACAAACUGUAAAAAAAAAACGUUGAAUUUCAGAAUAUUUUGGACAAUGUAAGUAAAAUUGUUAAGUAGAAUACAUAAAAAAUGACUAUGUAAACAAGUCUAAAAAAAAAAAAAAAAGAAAAAAGAAAAAGGUGCAAGUCAGUCCACACAGGAUGCCGCUGAGCUUUUUUUUUGUGAUUGUUGCAGCCAAAAAAUGCUCGAUUUUGCUGCAGCUUUUUCCAAAAUGUGCGAUGCAACUUGCAAAGUUUUUUGUGGAAAACUACUUGAAUUGCGUGAGAUUGUCUUUCACAGUGACUGUUGUUGGUAAAUGAGACCUUUUAGCUGUAUUAAUGAAUUGAAGAGGGUCUUUGGCUGAAGGCGUGCUGUGAUGACAUCACACGACACGUCUAGGCCCAAAUCUGCGGAAAAUCCGCAGUAAGUUUUUUUUUUUUUAAUUGCAAGCUCCUCUGAAUACCGCAGAGUUUCCUUGAUUUUGCUUUCAUGUCUGUGAUCGCAUAAUCCUGGAGGGACCGGUAAGUAGUCUGUGACCUGGUCAUUCACAACAGAAGUAAGCUGUAAGCAAAUACUCAUACACACUUCAUCAGCUUAUACUGGCUCUUCAAUAAAUACAAGAAGUGCUUCAACUGAUAAUGCAAAGCAAUGAAAAUGUGUACCAUUCGUCAGCGUCUUUACGCCACGCCGGUCGUUCGUCGGCGUCUUUACAGUAAAGGUUGUCGUUCGUCGGCGUCUUUACAGUAAGGCUGUCGUUCGUCGGCGUCUUUACAGUAAAGGUUGUCGUUCGUCGGCGUCUUUACAGUAAAGGUUGUCGUUCGUCGGCGUCUUUACAGUAAGGCUGUCGUUCGUCGGCGUCUUUACAGUAAGGCUGUCGUUCAUCGCGUCUUUACAGUAAGGCUGUCGUUCGUCGGCGUCUUUACAGUAAGGCUGUCGUUCGUCGGCGUCUUUACAGUAAGGCUGUCGUUCGUCGGCGUCUUUACAGUAAGGCUGUCGUUCGUCGGCGUCUUUACAGUAAGGCUGUCGUUCGUCGGCGUCUUUACAGUAAGGCUGUCGUUCGUCGGCGUCUUUACAGUAAAGGUUGUCGUUCGUCGGCGUCUUUACAGUAAGGCUGUCGUUCGUCGGCGUCUUUACAGUAAAGGUUGUCGUUCGUCGGCGUCUUUACAGUAAGGCUGCCGUUCGUCGGCGUCUUUACAGUAAGGCUGUCGUUCGUCGGCGUCUUUACAGUAAAGGUUGUCGUUCGUCGGCGUCUUUACAGUAAAGGUUGUCGUUCGUCGGCGUCUUUACAGCAAGGCUGUCGUUCGUCGGCGUCUUUACAGUAAAGGUUGUCGUUCGUCGGCGUCUUUACAGUAAAGGUUGUCGUUCAUCGGCGUCUUUACAGUAAAGGUUGUCGUUCGUCAGUGUCUUUACAGGAAGCUGGACAUUUGUCAGCGUUUUUAACAUUGCGCUAAUCAUUUGUUAGUGUUUUUUUCAGAACAGUUAAUGUGCUACUUCAGAAUGUGUGAAAUCAUUCACUUUCUGUAGAAAUCUCUGGUGAAAUGCUAGAACAUACAAAAUGAACAGUGGUAGUCCAUAUCUGGCUUCAUAUGUAUGCAAAUUACACUGGAACUAUCUUGGAGCUAACAUAACACUGGUUAGCUGUUAGCACAAAACAGGUUUGCUUGUGCAAACAGACGUAGGCUGCCUUCAAAUCCUAUCGGAAAUCUCUUCCUGAGUGUGCAGAGAGCUCUGUGUCUCCGAACGCCGUGCAUGCACGAUACUGCUCAUCCUAAGCACACAGUAGCCCAAGAGCUCAACUAUACUGAAUAAAACAUUGAACACAAUAUAUUUUGUCACCAUGUUACACAUUUAAUACAUCUGUUACUAACAGACUCGUAGUAUACUUUUCCAGAUUAACAAAGUAAUAAUGGAACAAUUUAUCAAUUAUACAAAUAGUAGUUAGUUGCGGCACUGAUGAAAAUAAAUAAUUUGCAGGAAUGAUCGUGAUCGGAAGCUUUUUUUGGUCCGACUACACAACCGUUCGUUCUGGUCUACUAAUCUGACUGGACUAGAGGUGUUCCAAGAGUGCUGAUGUUUAGAACAACAGUCCUGCUACAGUACGUUUCACUGUUUGUCUGUGUUCACUACAUAAAAUUCCAGCUCUAGCAAUAGUUCACUGCAUUGAAACCGUUACUACACUUUCUAUGCGCUGUCAAUCAGUCUGUGUGGUGGCAUGGCAACGCCCAACACACUACCCCAGCUUUGGCUUCUUUGGGAAUUAUUUUGACGGAGCACAGAAAAACUAAAUAUUUGGCCAUAUUGUUAAUAUUAAUUUGAAUUACUUGAUAUUAAUUUCUUGUUUAUAGAACUGUUGUAUAAAAGCAAUAUCACAAGACUCCAUUACUAAAGAAAAGGCAUGUUGAAGCUCGUUUAAAGUUUGCGACAACUCAUUUGGACAAGCCUAUGAAAUACUGGGAGAGUGUAGUCUGGCCAGACGAGGGCGAGAUUUACUUUUUGGCUGUUAUACUACACACCAUGUUUGGGGAAGAAAUGGCACUGCACAUCACUCUAAUCGAUCCAAAACAUACAGCAAAGGAAACUCAGUUGGUUUUGGAGAAAAAAAAUCAAGGCGUUAGAAUGUCCCAGUCAAUCACCUGACUCGAAUCCAGCUGAACAAGAUUUAAAGACGAUAUGUUUAGAAGAACGGGCCAAAAUCACACCUGAAUACUGCGGCACAUUAAUUUCUUCAUACAGGAAGCGUCUUGAAGCCGUCAAUACAAACAAAGGCUUCUCCACUACGUAUUAAAUACAUUUCAGUUAGUGUGUUCAGUACUUUGUUCCCUGUGUCAUUCCUCUUUAUUACACACUAAACUUCAUUUAUGGAUUUUAAUGUUUGGAUUUCUUUAUAUGUGUGGAUUUCUUGAGUUAAUACCAAAGUCUGGUGUAAAUUUCAUGUGAAUGGCCUCAUUGGAAAUAUAUUUACUGAACAAAAGUUGACGCGUUCAAUACUUAUUUCCCCUACGGUGUGUGUCCUGUCGCACAAUGUGGUGAAAACUCUACACGAUGUUAACAGUGUGAUUAAGGUGUGUACGUGUCUGUAAUGCACUUCGAUAACGCGACUAAAACAGGAAUACUCCACACGUCUUAAUUCCAUUUGUGUUUACUUCAAGUAUGACUUUAAUUGGAUUAAGGUCAUCAAUAAUCGCUGUUUACAUGCUAGUUUCUUAAUCGGGUUAAUAUCGGAUUAUUGUUGUCCAUGUAAACAUACUGACUCACUUAUAACU